rnacentral:rRNA from 1 species
UACGUAGGGUGCAAGCGUUGUCCGGAAUUAUUGGGCGUAAAGAGCUCGUAGGCGGUUUGUCGCGUCUGCUGUGAAAACUCGGGGCUUAACCCCGGGCCUGCAGUGGGUACGGGCAGACUAGAGUGCGGUAGGGGAGACUGGAAUUCCUGGUGUAGCGGUGAAAUGCGCAGAUAUCAGGAGGAACACCGGUGGCGAAGGCGGUUCUCUGGGCAUGAUCUGACGCUGAGGAGCGAAAGUGUGGGGAGCGAACAGG